GGAGUUGUGGCUCAGCAGUAGAGUGCUCGCCUCGCACAUGAGAGGCCCUGGGUUCAAUCCUCAGCACCA
rnacentral:tRNA from 1 species